rnacentral:lncRNA from 12 species
CCGGCCCGUCCCGGGUGAAGCCGCGGCGGGAGGCGGGGAGGGGAGGGCAGAGGGAGGGCCGGGUGCCCGGGGGCUGCGGGGCGGCCGCCAGAGGUGCCGGGAGGAGCUGGCAGGACACAGGACACAGGACCCAGGACGCAGGGUACAGGACACAGGGCACGGGGCACGGCGCUGGGCACGGGCUCCCGGCGCCGCCCGCCGGGGGGGGGGGGGGGGGGGGGGGGGGGGGCACGGGCUCCCGGCGCCGCCCGCCCCGCCCCGCCGCUUCUGCCACAGCCCAGCCAAGUUCGGGGGCGCCUCUCCCUCCCACUUAAACGAGCUAUGCGCCCGGACUCUUGCGAAGGAGUGGCGCCUUGGGUGCUUUAGAAAGCCUUCCUCCGCCAAGCGCAAAAAAUAUUUGGGUUCACUGCUGACUCACUGAAGAAAUCAUGUACGUCAUAUUAGAAAUCCUUAGUGGGUUAGGUCUUUAGCUGACAUUGACAUAGAUACGAAAAAUGAAUUGAACUGAGUAGUCAGAG